rnacentral:rRNA from 1 species
GGGGGUGGGCGGCUUACAUGCAAGUCGAACGGUGAAGUCGAGUAGCUUGCUCUGAUGAGAUGCAUGUGGCGAACGGGUGAGUAACACGUGAGCAACCUGCCCCUGACUCUGGGAUAAGCGCUGGAAACGGCGUCUAAUACUGGAUACGAGCUGCGAUCGCAUGGUCAGCAGUUGAAAAGAUUUUUCGGUCUGGGAUGAGCUCGCGACCUAUCAGCUUGUUGGUGAGGUAACGGCUCACCAAGGCGUCGACGGGUAGCCGGCCUGAGAGGGUGACCGGCCACACUGGGACUGAGACACGGCCCAGACUCCUACGGGAGGCAGCAGUGGGGAAUAUUGCACAAUGGGCGGAAGCCUGAUGCAGCAACGCCGCGUGAGGGACGACGGCCUUCGGGUUGUAAACCUCUUUUAUCAGGGAAGAAGCGAAAGUGACGGUACCUGCAGAAAAAGCGCCGGCUAACUACGUGCCAGCAGCCGCGGUAAUACGUAGGGCGCAAGCGUUAUCCGGAAUUAUUGGGCGUAAAGAGCUCGUAGGCGGUUUGUCGCGUCUGCUGUGAAAACCCGAGGCUCAACCUCGGGCCUGCAGUGGGUACGGGCAGACUAGAGUGCGGUAGGGGAGAUUGGAAUUCCUGGUGUAACGGUGGAAUGCGCAGAUAUCAGGAGGAACACCGAUGGCGAAGGCAGAUCUCUGGGCCGUAACUGACGCUGAGGAGCGAAAGGGUGGGGAGCAAACAGGCUUAGAUACCCUGGUAGUCCACCCCGUAAACGUUGGGAACUAGUUGUGGGGUCCAUUCCACGGAUUCCGUGACGCAGCUAACGCAUUAAGUUCCCCGCCUGGGGAGUACGGCCGCAAGGCUAAAACUCAAAGGAAUUGACGGGGACCCGCACAAGCGGCGGAGCAUGCGGAUUAAUUC